UGACACUUGCCCAGUAAUUUAUUGUGUAAAUACGCAUAGGUUUAGUGCAUUGUAGUCCAGCUGCACUCUGCCUUAAUUUGCACUAAGGUUCCCGCCUAUGUUCGAGUCCAAACCUAGGCCUUUAGUCAUGUUGCCAACAGAGGCCUUCAACCACGUUUCUUGUCAAGUGUUCUGAUUCUAUAUAUUCUAUUGCUUAAGGAAGCAUUGAUGGACGAGGCAUCUAUCGAUCAAAUGUACUUCGACAUUCGAAGCAUAAAUGUUCAAAGACGCGUUGG
rnacentral:lncRNA from 1 species